rnacentral:rRNA from 1 species
AGCUCCAAUAGCGUAUACUAAUGUUGUUGCAGUUAAAAAGCUCGUAGUCGGAUUUCAGAAUUAACAUUUCGCCUUUCAUGGCUGUGAUGUUUUUUCUUCUUAACGAGAAGCUAUCGUGGCCUUCACUGGUCGCGGUAGGGUAUCGUUUCUUUUACUUUGAGAAAAUUAGAGUGUUCAAAGCAGGCAUUUGCCCGAAUAUUACUCUUGGAAUAAUCGUAUAGGACUUUGGUUCUCAUUUGAUGGUUUGGAGGCCGAAGUAAUGAUU